UGGGGAAUAUUGCACAAUGGGCGAAAGCCUGAUGCAGCGACGCCGCGUGAGGGAUGACGGCCUUCGGGUUGUAAACCUCUUUCAGCAGGGACGAAGCGCAAGUGACGGUACCUGCAGAAGAAGCACCGGCUAACUACGUGUCAGCAGCCGCGGUAAUACGUAGGGUGCAAGCGUUGUCCGGAAUUACUGGGCGUAAAGAGUUCGUAGGCGGUUUGUCGCGUCGUUUGUGAAAACCAGCAGCUCAACUGCUGGCUUGCAAGCGAUACGGGCGGACUUGAGUACUGCAGGAGAGACUGGAAUUCCUGGUGUAGCGGUGAAAUGCGCAGGUAUCAGGGGGAAAACCGGUGGCGAAGGCGGGUCUCUGGGCAGUAACUGGCGCUGAGGAACGGAAGCGUGGGUAGCGAACAGG
rnacentral:rRNA from 1 species